rnacentral:rRNA from 1 species
CCUACGGGAGGCAGCAGUGGGGAAUUUUGGACAAUGGGCGCAAGCCUGAUCCAGCAAUGCCGCGUGCAGGAUGAAGGCCUUCGGGUUGUAAACUGCUUUUGUACGGAACGAAACGGUGAGCUCUAAUACAGUUUGACUAAUGACGGUACCGUAAGAAUAAGCACCGGCUAACUACGUGCCAGCAGCCGCGGUAAUACGUAGGGUGCGAGCGUUAAUCGGAAUUACUGGGCGUAAAGCGUGCGCAGGCGGUGAUGUAAGACAGAUGUGAAAUGCCCGGGCUCAACCUGGGACCUGCAUUUGUGACUGCAUCGCUAGAGUACGGUAGAGGGGGAUGGAAUUCCGCGUGUAGCAGUGAAAUGCGUAGAUAUGCGGAGGAACACCGAUGGCGAAGGCAAUCCCCUGGACCUGUACUGACGCUCAUGCACGAAAGCGUGGGGAGCAAACAGGAUUAGAUACCCUGGUAGUCCACGCCCUAAACGAUGUCAACUGGUUGUUGGGUCUUCACUGACUCAGUAACGAAGCUAACGCGUGAAGUUGACCGCCUGGGGAGUACGGCCGCGAGGUUGAAACUUCAAAGGAAUUGACGGCGNGAGAGNGCGAGGACGACACGAGGGAGAGG